AUGGCCUCUUGCCCUAGAGACAACAUGGCCGCCUGCCCUGGGUCAAAUACGGCCUCCUGUCCUGGAUCAGGAUCCAAUAUGGCCUCUUGUCUUGGAUCAAAUAUGGCCCCUUGUACUGGAUCCAAUAUGGCCUCCUGUCCUGGAUCAAAUAUUUCCCCUUGUCCAGGGUCAAAUAUGAUGACCUGCCAAGGAGUCAACAUGGGGGAUAAAGCAGAGCUUGUCUCUAAACCUGCUGCCUGCUCCUUACCUGAUGUCCAGCAGGAGGACCUUCCCCCUGAGUUGACUUCAGAUCCAGUACCUUAUGUAGAGGAGGAUGCCCCCCUUUCUCCCCCCCACCUCUCUCCUCCCCAUCAUCCCGCACACCGCCUGCAGGCCCUGACAGAAGGCAUGGCUGGACAGGAGAGCUGUACCAGUAUACCCUCUCAUCCGGCUUGUUGCCUGUCUAGCAAGAGUGUGGCUAACUUGCUGCAUGAUGCCUCUGACAGGAACCAAAUCUCUGUGACGACAUUGGGCGAACCCAUCACGGGCAGCAAGAACAGCCAAUCAGACGGCUGGAGCAGCGUGGAUGAGGAUGAUGGGGCGUUUGAAGCUAAUGGUCAGGAGACGAUGUCACCUUCCUCAGGCCCAUCUAUAGUUUCAGAAGAAGAGUUGGCCAGCCUAGCCAUGAUCAGUCCAGCUAAAACCAGUCAAUACUCUGGACCCAGAGUGAAAGCCCUGAUACAGAUACUACAACAUCAACUAGACCAGCAAGAACUGGUCCGAGAGUUCAUGGCCUUGGAGCAUCUACAGCCAUUUGAUAACUGUCUGGUGGGGAAAGCUCCUGAGAACCGGGAGAGGAACCUCUACCGGGACAUCCUGCCCUGUAAGCUCUGUUAA
rnacentral:lncRNA from 1 species